rnacentral:rRNA from 1 species
AUUGAACGCUGGCGGCAGGCCUAACACAUGCAAGACGAACGGUAACAGGAAGCAGCUUGCUGCUUUGCUGACGAGUGGCGGACGGGUGAGUAAUGUCUGGGAAACUGCCUGAUGGAGGGGGAUAACUACUGGAAACGGUAGCUAAUACCGCAUAACGUCGCAAGACCAAAGAGGGGGACCUUCGGGCCUCUUGCCAUCGGAUGUGCCCAGAUGGGAUUAGCUAGUAGGUGGGGUAACGGCUCACCUAGGCGACGAUCCCUAGCUGGUCUGAGAGGAUGACCAGCCACACUGGAACUGAGACACGGUCCAGACUCCUACGGGAGGCAGCAGUGGGGAAUAUUGCACAAUGGGCGCAAGCCUGAUGCAGCCAUGCCGCGUGUAUGAAGAAGGCCUUCGGGUUGUAAAGUACUUUCAGCGGGGAGGAAGGGAGUAAAGUUAAUACCUUUGCUCAUUGACGUUACCCGCAGAAGAAGCACCGGCUAACUCCGUG